rnacentral:rRNA from 1 species
UACGUAGGGUGCAAGCGUUAAUCGGAAUUACUGGGCGUAAAGCGUGCGCAGGCGGUGAUGUAAGACAGGUGUGAAAUCCCCGGGCUUAACCUGGGAACUGCAUUUGUGACUGCAUCGCUGGAGUGCGGCAGAGGGGGAUGGAAUUCCGCGUGUAGCAGUGAAAUGCGUAGAGAUCGGGAGGAACAUCUGUGGCGAAGGCGGCCAUCUGGACCAGCACUGACACUGAGGCACGAAAGCGUGGGGAGCAAACAGG